AUUGAACGCUGGCGGAAUGCUUUACACAUGCAAGUCGAGCGGCAGCGCGGGGGCAACCCUGGCGGCGAGCGGCGAACGGGUGAGUAACAUAUCGGAACGUACCCCGUCGUGGGGGAUAACACAGCGAAAGCUGUGCUAAUACCGCAUACGACCUGAGGGUGAAAGCGGGGGAUCGCAAGACCUCGCGCGAUGGGAGCGGCCGAUAUCGGAUUAGCUUGUUGGUGAGGUAAAGGCUCACCAAGGCGACGAUCCGUAGCUGGUCUGAGAGGACGACCAGCCACACUGGAACUGAGACACGGUCCAGACUCCUACGGGAGGCAGCAGUGGGGAAUAUUGGACAAUGGGCGCAAGCCUGAUCCAGCAAUGCCGCGUGUGUGAAGAAGGCC
rnacentral:rRNA from 1 species